UCUUCUGCUAAAAAUAUAAUAAUAUUUUUUCUAUAAAAUUAGUUAAAUUAAAGAAGUUUGACUUUGAAAAAAAGUCAAACAACUUCUAACAUAAAACAGAGUGGAACAGAGUGGGUUAAUAAUUAAUACCGGUGUUGGUUUGUCUUUGUUCACCACUCGUGCUUUGAUUAUUUUUAUCCUGUGAGUUGGAGCAGGAUCGAAACAAAUCCUGGUCAUUCAUAUAAGAGCAUCUCUAAUAGCAUGGCUAUUUGACUCUCUAAACUAAAAUUUGACCAUUCUACCUAAAAUUUUAUCUAAAAUUUAUACUUCAUGACCAAAUCAUUCGGCUGGCCAAACUCACUGGGAGUGGCCAAACGUGGGUCCCGCAUGGGAAGUACCAGUGCGACCACCCAGGAUGACG
rnacentral:lncRNA from 1 species